GAAAUGCGAUAAGUAAUGUGAAUUGCAGAAUUCAGUGAAUCAUCGAAUCUUUGAACGCACCUUGCGCUCCUUGGUAUUCCUUGGAGCAUGCCUGUUUGAGUAUCAUGAAAUCUCCAAAGUAAAUCUUUUGUUAACUCAAUUGGUUUCUACUUUGGUAUUGGAGGUCUUUGCAGCUUCACACCUGCUCCUCUUUGUUCAUUAGCUGGAUCUCAGUGUUAUGCUUGGUUCCACUCGGCGUGAUAAGUUAUCUAUCGCUGAGGACACUGUAAAAGGUGGCCAAGGUAAAUGCAGAUGAACCGCUUCUAAUAGUCCAUUGACUUGGACAAUACUUUUAUGAUCUGAUCUCAAAUCAGGUAGGACUACCCGCUGAACUUAAGC
rnacentral:misc_RNA from 1 species